AAGGAGAAGUGACUUCUGGGAUGAAUUUUUUCUACUAAAAGCUAAUGUAGAAUUUUUAGAAGGAACUAUUAUGGCAAUGUCUUUAUCUAACCUCAUGCAAAUCAAAGCUAACGUUAAUAACUUGUUUAUCCAGUGCUGU